UACGUAGGGUGCAAGCGUUGUCCGGAAUUAUUGGGCGUAAAGAGCUCGUAGGCGGUCUGUCGCGUCUGCUGUGAAAACUCAGGGCUUAACCCUGAGCUUGCAGUGGGUACGGGCAGACUAGAGUGCGGUAGGGGAGACUGGAAUUCCUGGUGUAGCGGUGAAAUGCGCAGAUAUCAGGAGGAACACCGGUGGCGAAGGCGGGUCUCUGGGGCCGAUACUGACGCUGAGGCGCGAAAGCGUGGGGAGCAAACAGG
rnacentral:rRNA from 1 species